AUGGGUUUUCUUGUUCAAUGUUAUCGAUGCAUCCAAAUUGCAUGCAAAAAAAAUAAACAUAAAUUGGAAUGUCCAAAUCACAUGCCAACUCUUAGAAGGAUUUAUAAAAAUUCGAGCUUGGAUUUAGAAUAUAUUAGUUCAUCAAAAAUUAGUGUUCAACUUCAAGCUACCAUUUCACUGUAAAUAACUAAUAUCAUUUUAGUUUACUGGAUUGAAUAUUCAUAUUUUUUGAAGCUAAGAAGCAAUCUGAAUAUAUUACGUGAAACUUCUCAGGGUGUCAUUUCAUUAAUUUUCUGCCGCUGGCUGGUUGUUUUUACAUAGUUCAAUACUAUUCAAUGCCAUGUUAAA